AUUGAACGCUGGCGGCAGGCCUAACACAUGCAAGUCGAGCGAGCGGCGGACGGGUGAGUAAUGUCUGGGAAACUGCCUGAUGGAGGGGGAUAACUACUGGAAACGGUAGCUAAUACCGCAUACCAUCAGAUGUGCCCAGAUGGGAUUAGCUGGUCGGGGGGGUAACGGCUCACCUCGGCAACGAUCCCUAGCUGGUCGGAGAGGAUGACCCGCAAAACUGGAACGGAGACACGGUCCAGACGCGUACGGGAGGCAGCAGUGGGGAAUAGUGGACAAUGGGGGCAAGCCGGAUGCAGCCAUGCCGCGUGUGUGAAGAAGGCCUUCGGGUGGGAAAGCACUUGCAGCGGGGAGGCGUUACCCGCAGAAGAAGCACCGGCUAACUCCGUGCCAGCAGCCGCGGUAAUUC
rnacentral:rRNA from 1 species